rnacentral:rRNA from 1 species
GUGCUCUAAGUCGGUGUGAAUCUCCCGCUCACUGGAGGAGUGCGCCGAAACUGAAUGCUUGAGCGUGGGAGAGGAAAGCGGAAUUCCUGGUGUAGCGUGAAAUGCGUAGAUAUCAGGAGGAACACCUGCGGUGUAGACGCUUUCUGGACCAUUGCUGACGCUGAGACACGAAAGCGUGGGUAGCAAACAGGAUUAGAUACCCUGGUAGUCCACGCCCUAAACGAUGCAUACUUGGUGUCGGCCAUUCAGUUGGUCGGUGCCGGAGCUAACGCGUUAAGUAUGCCGCCUGGGGAGUACGUUCGCAAGGAUGAAACUCAAAGGAAUUGACGGGGGCCCGCACAAGCGGUGGAGCAUGUGGUUUAAUUCGACGCAACGCGAAGAACCUUACCUGGGCUCGAACGGCUUCAGAUCGCCGGUGGAAACACUGGCUUUCCCGCAAGGGACUGGAGUCGAGGUGCUGCAUGGCUGUCGUCAGCUCGUGUCGUGAGAUGUUGGGUUAAGUCCCGCAACGAGCGCAACCCUUGUCCUGUGUU